AACGAACGCUGGCGGCGUGCCUAACACAUGCAAGUCGAACGAGAACGGAAUAUAGCUUGCUAUAUUUGUCAGCUAAGUGGCGCACGGGUGAGUAAUGUAUAGAUAACCUGCCCUUAAGAAAGGAAUAACAGUUGGAAACGACUGCUAAUGCCCUAUAUGCCUUUAAUACAUAAGUAUGCAAGGGAAACGCUUUAGUGCUUAAGGAUGGGUCUGUAUGGUAUCAGCUUGUUGGUGAGGUAAUGGCUCACCAAGGCUAUGACGCCUAACUGGUUUGAGAGGAUGAUCAGUCACACUGGAACUGAGACACGGUCCAGACUCCUACGGGAGGCAGCAGUGGGGAAUAUUGCACAAUGGACGAAAGUCUGAUGCAGCAACGCCGCGUGGAGGAUGACACAUUUCGGUGCGUAAACUCCUUUUAUAUAGGAAGAUAAUGACGGUACUAUAUGAAUAAGCACCGGCUAACUCCGUGCCAGCAGCCGCCGUAAUAC
rnacentral:rRNA from 1 species